GCUAAAGAGUGGACAAGUAAAAAAAUUGUAAAGGGAAGACAGUGAAAACUAUUAGAGUUGUCUCUCAAGUAUUUUUCUCUUUCCACCCCCAUGAUGUGUCCUCAUGCCUAAUUGGAAAUGCUGUGUAGGCUUGGAGAAGGCUGCCCCCUGCCACCACUGAGGACAACUACACUAAUACAGACAAGAGUGCCUCAACAGUUACACACUCGGGAGUUUGGGUUUUGCCAUAUGCAACUAGCUACCAUCUCCAACGCUUGUGCAAAACAAAAAAGAAAACUGCUAAGUCAGGAGCCGGACACUAGGGUGAAUGGUGUGCCGAGAGCCGGAGAGACCCAGGACGAUGGAAAGAGAAAGGAGGAUAAGAUCAUCUCGCCCACAGAGCCUCUCACCCCGACACACUGA
rnacentral:lncRNA from 1 species